rnacentral:rRNA from 1 species
CGCUAUCAUCCUACGGGAGGCAGCAGUGGGGAAUAUUGCACAAUGGGCGCAAGCCUGAUGCAGCCAUGCCGCGUGUGUGAAGAAGGCCUUCGGGUUGUAAAGCACUUUCAGUCGUGAGGAAGGUAGUGUAGUUAAUAGCUGCAUUAUUUGACGUUAGCGACAGAAGAAGCACCGGCUAACUCCGUGCCAGCAGCCGCGGUAAUACGGAGGGUGCGAGCGUUAAUCGGAAUUACUGGGCGUAAAGCGCAUGCAGGUGGUUUGUUAAGUCAGAUGUGAAAGCCCGGGGCUCAACCUCGGAAUAGCAUUUGAAACUGGCAGACUAGAGUACUGUAGAGGGGGUAGAAUUUCAGGUGUAGCGGUGAAAAUGCGUAGAGAUCUGAAGGAAUACCGGUGGCGAAGGCGGCCCCCUGGACAGAUACUGACACUCAGAUGCGAAAGCGUGGGGAGCAAACAGGAUUAGAUACCCUGGUAG